GAGAGUUUGAUCCUGGCUCAGGAUGAACGCUGGCGCGCGUGCUUAACACAAUGCAAGUCGAACGAUGAAGCCCAGCUUGCUGGGUGGAUUAGUGGCGAACGGGUGAGUAACACGUGAGUAACCUGCCCUUAACUCUGGGAUAAGCCUGGGAAACUGGGUCUAAUACCGGAUAGGAGCGCCUACCGCAUGGUGGGUGUUGGAAAGAUUUAUCGGUUUUGGAUGGACUCGCGGCCUAUCAGCUUGUUGGUGAGGUAAUGGCUCACCAAGGCGACGACGGGUAGCCGGCCUGAGAGGGUGACCGGCCACACUGGGACUGAGACACGGCCCAGACUCCUACGGGAGGCAGCAGUGGGGAAUAUUGCACAAUGGGCGCAAGCCUGAUGCAGCGACGCCGCGUGAGGGAUGACGGCCUUCGGGUUGUAAACCUCUUUCAGUAGGGAAGAAGCGAAAGUGACGGUACCUGCAGAAGAAGCACCGGCUAACUACGUGCCAGCAGCCGCGGUAAUACGUAGGGUGCGAGCGUUAUCCGGAAUUAUUGGGCGUAAAGAGCUCGUAGGCGGUUUGUCGCGUCUGUCGUGAAAGUCCGGGGCUUAACCCCGGAUCUGCGGUGGGUACGGGCAGACUAGAGUGCAGUAGGGGAGACUGGAAUUCCUGGUGUAGCGGUGGAAUGCGCAGAUAUCAGGAGGAACACCGAUGGCGAAGGCAGGUCUCUGGGCUGUAACUGACGCUGAGGAGCGAAAGCAUGGGGAGCGAACAGGAUUAGAUACCCUGGUAGUCCAUGCCGUAAACGUUGGGCACUAGGUGUGGGGACCAUUCCACGGUUCCGCGCCGCAGCUAACGCAUAAGUGCCCCGCC
rnacentral:rRNA from 1 species